ACACAUGCAAGUCGAGCGGAUGAGAGGAGCUUGCUCCUGGAUUCAGCGGCGGACGGGUGAGUAAUGCCUAGGAAUCUGCCUGGUAGUGGGGGACAACGUUUCGAAAGGAACGCUAAUACCGCAUACGUCCUACGGGAGAAAGCAGGGGACCUUCGGGCCUUGCGCUAUCAGAUGAGCCUAGGUCGGAUUAGCUAGUUGGUGAGGUAAUGGCUCACCAAGGCGACGAUCCGUAACUGGUCUGAGAGGAUGAUCAGUCACACUGGAACUGAGACACGGUCCAGACUCCUACGGGAGGCAGCAGUGGGGAAUAUUGGACAAUGGGCGAAAGCCUGAUCCAGCCAUGCCGCGUGUGUGAAGAAGGUCUUCGGAUUGUAAAGCACUUUAAGUUGGGAGGAAGGGUUGUAGAUUAAUACUCUGCAAUUUUGACGUUACCGACAGAAUAAGCACCGGCUAACUCUGUGCCAGCAGCCGCGGUAAUACAGAGGGUGCAAGCGUUAAUCGGAAUUACUGGGCGUAAAGCGCGCGUAGGUGGUUCGUUAAGUUGGAUGUGAAAUCCCCGGGCUCAACCUGGGAACUGCAUCCAAAACUGGCGAGCUAGAGUAUGGUAGAGGGUGGUGGAAUUUCCUGUGUAGCGGUGAAAUGCGUAGAUAUAGGAAGGAACACCAGUGGCGAAGGCGACCACCUGGACUGAUACUGACACUGAGGUGCGAAAGCGUGGGGAGCAAACAGGAUUAGAUACCCUGGUAGUCCACGCCGUAAACGAUGUCAACUAGCCGUUGGGAGCCUUGAGCUCUUAGUGGCGCAGCUAACGCAUUAAGUUGACCGCCUGGGGAGUACGGCCGCAAGGUUAAA
rnacentral:rRNA from 1 species